CUCAUUGUUCAAUUCCCACCUAUGAGUGAGAACAUGAGGUGUUUGGUUUUUUGUCCUUGCAAUAGUUUGCUGAGAAUGAUGGUUUCCAGCUUCAUCCAUGUCCCUACAAAGGACAUGAACUCAUCAUUUUUUAAGGCUGCAUAGUAUUCCAUGGUGUAUAUGUGCCACAUUUUCUUAAUCCAGUCUAUCAUUGCUGGACAUUUGGGUUUGUUCCAAGUCUUUGCUAUUGUGAAUAGUGCCACAAUAAACAUACGUGUGCAUAUGUCUUUAUAGCAGCAUGAUUUAUAAUCCUUUGGGUAUAUACCCAGUAAUGGGAUUGCUGGGUCAAAUGGUAUUUCUAGUUCUAGAUACUUGAGGAAUCACCACACUGACUUCCACAAUAGCUGAACUAGUUUACAGUCCCACCAACAGUGUAAAAGUGUUUCUAGUGUAAAAGAGGAUUGCUUCACAUCCUCUCCAGCACCUGUUGUUCCCUGACUUUUUAAUGAUCACCAUUCUAACUGGUGUGAGAUGGUAUCUCAUUGUGGUUUUGAUUUGCAUUUCUCUGAUGGCCAGUGAUGAUGAGCAUUUUUUCAUGUGUCUGUUGGCUGCAUAAAUGUCUUCUUUUGAGAAGUGUCUGUUCAUAUCCUUCACCCACUUGUUGAUGGGGUUGUUUGUUUUUUUUCUUGUAAAUUUGUUUGAGUUCUUUGCAGAUUCUGGAUAUUAGCCCUUUGUCAGAUGAGUAGAUGAUUGCAAAAAUUUUCUCCCAUGCCUGUUCUCUCUGAUGGUAGUUUGUUUUGAUGUGCAGAAGCUCUUUAGUUUAAUUAGAUCCCAUUUGUCAAUUUUGGCUUUUGUUGCCAUUGCUUUUGGUGUUUUAGACAUGAAGUCCUUGACCAUGCCUAUGUCCUGAAUGGUAAUGUCUAGGUUUUCUUCUAGGGUUUUUAUGGUUCUCUCUCUCUUUUUUUUAAGUUAGCCUUGCUAAAGGCUUUUCAAUUUUGUUAAUGUUCUCAGGGAACUAGCUCUGGUUUCAUGAUUUUCUCUACUGAAUUUCUAGUUUCUAUUUUAUUGAUUUAUGUUCUAAUUGUUGUUAAUUAUAUUAUUCUAUAUAUUUUGGAUUUAAUUUGCAUUUCUUUUAAAUUUCCAAAGGUGGAAGCUUAUAUUAUUGAUUUUAGAUCUUUUCCCCUUUCUAAUACAUGCAUUAAAUGUUCUGAAUUUCCCAGUAAGCACUGCUUUUGCUGCAUACCACAAUUUUUGAUAUGUUGUUUUUAUUUUUAUUUAUUUUAAAAUAUUUUUUAAUUCCUCUUGAUAUUUCUUCAUUGACCUCUGUGUUAUUUAGAAGUGUGUUGUUUAAUCUCCAAGUAUUUGAGGAAUUU
rnacentral:lncRNA from 1 species